rnacentral:rRNA from 1 species
GACGAACGCUGGCGGCGUGCUUAACACAUGCAAGUCGAACGGAAAGGCCCCUUUGGGGGUACUCGAGUGGCGAACGGGUGUGUAACACGUGAGUAACCUGCCCUUGACUUCGGGAUAACUUCAGGAAACUGGGGCUAAUACCGGAUAGGAAUCCUUGCUGCAUGGUGGGGGUUGGAAAGCUUCGGCGGGUUUGGAUGGACUCGCGGCUUAUCAGCUUGUUGGUGGGGUAGUGGCUUACCAAGGCUUUGACGGGUAGCCGGCCUGGGGGGGCGACCGGCCACAUUGGGACUGAGAUACGGCCCAGACUCCUACGGGAGGCAGGAGGGGGGAAUAUUGCACAAUGGGCGGAAGCCUGAUGCAGCAACGCCGCGGGCGGGAUGACGGCCUUCGGGUUGGAAACCGCUUUCAGCAGGGGCGAAGCUUGUGGUGACGGUACCUGCAGAAGAAGCACCGGCUAACUACGUG